rnacentral:rRNA from 1 species
GACGAACGCUGGCGGCGUGCCUAAUACAUGCAAGUCGAGCGAAUCAACAGGAGCUUGCUCCUGUUGGUUAGCGGCGGACGGGUGAGUAACACGUGGGCAACCUGCCUGUAAGACUGGGAUAACACCGGGAAACCGGUGCUAAUACCGGAUAAUCCUUUUCCUCUCAUGAGGAAAAGCUGAAAGUCGGUUUCGGCUGACACUUACAGAUGGGCCCGCGGCGCAUUAGCUAGUUGGUGAGGUAACGGCUCACCAAGGCGACGAUGCGUAGCCGACCUGAGAGGGUGAUCGGCCACACUGGGACUGAGACACGGCCCAGACUCCUACGGGAGGCAGCAGUAGGGAAUCUUCCACAAUGGACGAAAGUCUGAUGGAGCAACGCCGCGUGAGCGAUGAAGGCCUUCGGGUCGUAAAGCUCUGUUGUUAGGGAAGAACAAGUACCGGAGUAACUGCCGGUACCUUGACGGUACCUAACCAGAAAGCCACGGCUAACUACGUGCCAGCAGCCGCUGUAA